GGUUGAUUUGAAUUCUUAUCUGCUUGAGGAGACAUUGCAUCAUAAAAAGGUUCAGCCUCAACCUUUCGUAGAGAAAAGAGAUACAUCUUUAUUCAUGGCGAAAACAUGAAUAAAAGUACUCCACUAUGUGUGGAAGCUGUUCUCCAUCAAUUUCUAUAACAUGGAGAAGAAAAGAAUAGAAGAAAAUAUACGUUUCCAAAAGUGGAAUUACUGGAUAAGAAGCCUUAGGACAGUGCUUGGUGCAAAGUAAGUAUUCAACAAAUAUUUGAAUAUUUGAAUAUCCAGUAAAUAUUGCAAUGAUUUGAAUGAAGGUUUUUGAGAGUUAUUUAUGAAUUGUCCUUCAGGAUGAUGACACAUCUGAACAUGUCCCUUCAACACUGCCACUACCUCCCUCUAGACUGAAUUUCUCUGUAUCAUCUGUUGUGGUAUCCUUUAGUCU
rnacentral:lncRNA from 13 species